GCUGGCCUUGAACUCCUUGACCCAAGCAAUCCUCCCAGCUAGGUCUUCCAAAGUGCUGAGAUUAUAGGUGAGAGCCACUGCACCCUGUUUUUUUUUUCUAUAUUCCAUACUAUUUAUCUUUUUUUGAAGCUAUGAUGAGGUUGCAUAUUUGAACAGUACCUCUCAGAUGUACAAGAAAAAGUUUUACAAUUUUUUUAUUUAUAUAAAUGUUCUAAUGUUUUUCACAAUCCAUAUUCUCUUCUCUGGCAGGAUUUUGUUUUUCACUACAUCCUCCUGUUUCCCUGUGGCUAAAAGACUUACAACUAUAAUUUCAUGGUAGAUAAAAUGCCAUAGAGAAACCAGCUUGCAAAUAACGAAAUGCACACAGGUGGUAGUUCAGAUAUAUGAUGUGCAUUACAUGUAUUUUCUUGAUUUGUCUUUUAUUUUUAAAUUACAUACAGCAUCCUUAAUUAUUCCCUUUACCUAUUUCUCUUUUAAGAGCAAGCAUAUUUCACUAUUAUUGCCCAAAUGUAGGGCUGCAAAUUACAAAUAUGGGUUUACUUUAUAAAACUAUAAUAAAAGUAGAAACUGAGAUUUUAUUAUACUUGAUAGGGGAUUGUUAUUUUUUAUGAUAGGAAGAGUACAUAUUUAACUGUAACCCAGUUUUUUGGGAAGUGACAAUAUUUACCCUGGGAUAUGGUGCAUCGCAUGAAAAUAUUACAUGAUUAGAAGGCUGUAAUAGGUAUUCUUAUGAAGGUGCUGGAAGACUCCCAGAAAGAAUUUGGGAAAAGAUAAAAUAAAGGAGGAGCUUAAAUAAUGUCAAAAGAGUUAGCCUCUUAUGUGGAAGAACAGCCAAACAGGCAGAAAUGAAACCAUUUCAAAGGUACUUGAACUGAAGUCUCAAAAACAUAAGAAGGGAAAUUUAAUGCUAGUGCCUACUAGACAGACUUCCUUUGCAAACUUGAACAAAUGUUGCAGUCUUUUAACUUUAUUUCUUUAGUUUCUGAAAUGAGAAAGAUUCAACUUUGUUGCCUCCAGAGUCCUUGAAGUGACUAAUUGCCUAAUAGUUUCUAAAGACCUUUGAAAUCCAAAGGGCUGAGAUUUACAUACUAUGCCAUUUUCCUCCUUGAUCAUUGCAUUUCUGUUAAUUUCUCUGUAAUUCAGUUUCCACUUCAUUCUACAUUUUUUAACUUACUGAUUAUGUUUCUUGAGAUGUGUUUUGCUGAGAAAGGGGUUGAAAUACUCACCAACCAGAACAUUAGUUAGGACCUCUGAUUUCAGACUUAUUUUCUAAAACAUGACAUUCCCUUCUUUUUAAAUUUUUUCUUUCAUUUUUUCUUCUUCCCUUCUUCCAUGAAAUAUUCCAAAGAUAAAGAAAAAUGCAUAAAAUAAUAUAUAACUUCCAGUACAUGUAGCUGUGAUACAGAUGCCACAAAUGAUAAUGUUUAGUUGAAUUUGCUUUAGAUAUAUUUUAAAUAUAAAUAAAAUGUUCUACACAGAGGAGGCUGCAAAACGAGAGCCUCCCCAACUCCACUUGCUUUUCUUUUCCAUGAGUUGACCACUGUCUUCAAGAUGUAUAUGUUCCUCCCAAUCAGGUUUUAAAAUCAACGUGAUAUCCUGGAAAGUUUUAAAUGUACAUGAGGUAAGGAUGGAACUGUACAUCAUCAUCUUCAACUUGAUUGUUUUUAACUCAACAAUGUUUCAAAAUUUAACCAGUAAUUGUUUUUAACUCAACUAUGUUUCAAAAUUUAACCAGCUUGAUGUAGGUGGUUUGAUGUGGAUCCAUUCAUUUGAUGUGGAUAAUGAAUCCACAUAAUUCGUUUGAUGUGGAUAUAUAUAGUGUUCCAUUAGCUGUACCUUAAUUUAUCUUUUUUUUUUUCCAUUUUGAUGGGCAUUUGUGUUGUUCAGGGAAAUGCAAAUAAAAACCACAAUGUGAUACCACCUUAUUCCUGCAAGAAUGGCCAUAAUCAAAAAAUGAAAAACCAGUAGAUGUUGGCAUGGAUGCAGUGAUCAGGGAACACUUCUACACUGCUUGUGGGAAUGUAAACUAGUACAGCCACUAUGGAAAACCAUGUGGAGAUUCCUUAAAGAACUAAAAGUAGAACUACCAUUUGAUCCAGCAGUACCACUACUGGGUAUCUACCCAGAGGAAAAGAAGUCAUUAUUCAAAAAAGGUACUUGCACACACAUGUUUAUAGCAGCACAAUUCAGAAUUGCAAAAUCAUGGAACCAACCGAAAUGCCCAUCAACCAAAGAGUGGAUAAAGAAACUGUGAUAUAUAUAUAUAUGAUGGAGUACCACUCAGCCAUAAAAAGGAAUGAAUUAACGGCAUUUGCAACGACCUGGAUGAGAUUGGAGACUAUUAUUCUAAGUUAAGUAACUCAGGAAUGGAAAACCAAAUGUCAUGUGUUCUCGCUGAUAUGUGGGAGCUAAGCUAUGAGGAUUCAAAAGCAUAAGAAUGAUACCAUGGACUUUGGGGACUUGGGGGGAAGAAUGGGAGGAGGGAGAGGGAUAAAAGACUACAAAUAGGAUGCAGUGUAUACUGCUCGGGUGAUGGGUGCACCAAAAUCUCACUAAUCACCACUAAAGAACUUAGUCAUGUAAUCAAAUACCACCUGUACCCCAAAAACCUAUGGAAAAAUUAAAAAUGAAUUAAUUUUAAAAAUAAAAUAAAAUUAAGGAGGAAUAAACCAAGGCUCUGAGAAAUUCAGUGACUUGCUAAAGUCUCACGGCUAGGAAUCUUUGGAGCCAUGUCUGCAAGACACUAAAGACUGUUCUCUUAGAUUCUACAUUCUUUUCUUGUGAUAUCCAUGAAUCAAUAUUGAAUAAGAUACUGGAGGGUACCAGGCUGGAAGUAAUCCCUCCCCCAGAACUCCUCUCACCCCCACAAAAAACCCCAACAAGAUUGUAAUAAACAUUCGUUGUUAACAUGUAUAAAUUUCUUUAGCAUAAACCCUUGCAGGGAAGUUUUCAAGUCACAGGUAAUCAUGUAUUUCAAUUAACCUUGAUCUUUCCAUAUUGUUUUCCAGAGUGGCCACCAGCUGAUGAUGAGAUUCACUGAUCCUCACAUCCUCUCCAAUUCUUGAGAUUAUCAUGGCUUAACUGAGAGAUAUUACAUGAUUAACAAACUCAUACUACCCUGGAACCAGCAUCAGUGCUACGGUGGAACCAAGAAUUCACUUCUGCCUCCAUUGUCACUGCCACCAGCAUCUGUCUACUCCCAAGAAACUAAAGGACAGGCACUGGACUGCUACUGCAGAAACACCCACAAUUCCACAGGCUUGCUUGCGUUUUAAUGUCCACCAACAGUGGAGUUGGCUUCCCGGCUGUGAAUAGAUUCAUGGAAGAUGAACAAAAACAAAUGAACAAAUCAAUGACAACAACAGCAACAUCUGUGCAUACUAUAGAAGCAGAUGUGUAAUUAUUUUGUACAUUGGCUUAAUACUGAGAAAGAGACUGAAUAAUUAUUGCACUUCUGGCAAGUCUAUAUAUACUGUCUCCUGACGAAGGACCCUCCAGCAACUUCGGGCUGAAAUGAAGCAGAUUCACUCAAUCCGCACAAACUCUCAGAAAAGUGCAUCUGGAAAAAAAAAAAAAAAGUGACAGGGACUGAGUCCCAGAGAUAUUCCCCAGGAACUCUCCCCAAUCUGUGGUGCAAUAUGUGGUCUGACACAGCUGGACACCAGGCAGCACUUGGCCACCAGCCCUUCUGGCUGGACUCCUCCCCAAGGAAGCUGCCCAAUUUCCUUGUGGAAGAAGUGUCUGAAGGCCACCUAUGGGGAGCAAAAUUUGACGGAUGAAGAUUUUAUCUGUGAAUAAGAAAUAAAAUAAGAAAGUGAUAUCUUCACUUUGUAUCUAAAAUGUUGGAACUGUAGACAUUGAAAAAGUUAUCAAUGAAGCCCUCGUAUUCACCACCAUGUCCCUACAUAGGUUAUCCCUAAACCUCUGUAGAGGGUAUCUGUUUUUUCUGCCAUCAGUCUAUUUCCUGAAAUUCUGGAAAAAAAGUGUACACAGAAUUCCUGCCUCGUCCAAAAUUCAGCACGUGUGUUCUGACAGACGCAGAGUCCCCAGAUGCCUGGCCACUGUGAAUACCUUUGAGCCAAUCAGAAUCAAAUACGUGUGUAUGGAAAGUUCUGCCACAGACACGAUUGCCCUUUCUCUUGGCCUUUAGUUGGGAAUCACAGGCUGGAACUACUCCUGUCAUCUUGCCACCUACCAUAUGUAGCCAUACGGAUGUAUCUGAGAGCUAGAAACUGGGUCCUGGUGAUGUUGGAAUCCUGAUGAAGCUGUGCCUAAUCUCCCUUGCAGUUUACUUAGAAUUUGAGAAUGUUUUAGAUAUUUUCAAAUGAAAAUGCCUGAGUUUAAGUAUUAUUAUCUUGCCAGAUCCAUGCACCCAGCCAAUGAUGAGAUUAGAGUAUAACAACAUCUCCGUGUCUCCAAAGCCAUUGCUUUUCCGUGGAACCAUACUGUUAUCUGAGUUAGAAAGAGGGCUUUGGGAAGGAGAGGACACACAUUUUUAUCAAUGUGUUUUUUUUUUUUUUCCUGUGUGAGAAAGAAUGGAGUAGGACAACUCUAGAAUUACAUCUCUUGGGAAAUCUUUUAACAUGACCCACAAUUCCUUUUUUAACCUUCUUACAGGUUCAUCAUAUCAAAAUUUACAAAUAUGUCUGUCAAUCUCCCACAAGGAAAUGACACAAGCUCUCUAAUGAAAACAUUUUCUGAUGCCUUGGAAUUUUAGUUUUAGACCAUUCUGCACAAUGUCUCACAUACAUUUAUCUGGCUACAUUUUCAGUCAGGGCUGUAUUUUCAGCCUCAGAUGUGAAACAUUUUUCGUACCCCUUAAAAACUGUAGCAAGGUCACAAAACUCAUGAAUUUAUUGUAAUAAUAAAAAAUGUUUUGCCCCCUGUUUUUAUCAGCGGGCCUAGUUUCUAACAUUACAGACGUGAAUUUUUGCCCUCCUUGGAAAUUCUUGCCAAUUUCUUUGUCAUCCACCUUCAAUUAUUGGUUCACAAACUAGAUACAGGACUAACAGAGGCCACAUCACCUCUGGAUAUAAAAGAAAGUUCAUUUCCCUUUCAUGUUAUACUUCUUUUCAGGGUGAGAGAGGAAAUGUACUAAAAGUACUUAGCUCUCUUAGAGAUAGCUAGUUUUUCAACCAAAUAAUAAUAAUAAUAAUAAUCAAACAAAACCAUUUUGUGUCUAUUGGGAUCUUUGGAUGUUUGAUAGCCUCAUAUACAUAUCCAACCUAAUAAAAAUUUAUCUUAUUUGUACAGGAUUUCAGCAUUUACAGAAAACUUUCACGAAAUUUAUCUCAUUUAUUUCUCUUUUCAAUCCUAUAGUGUUGAUAUUGUUAUUAUUCCUAUUUUAGAGAUUAAUAUUAGGAGACUCAGGGAUUAAGUGAUUUGUUCAAAACUUUUCAACCUCUUCAGUGGUAGGACUGUAUUUUACACUCAAAUGUUCUGAUUAGUGUUCAGACAUUUCAUGGUUACAAAUAGCUUAUUCGGUACCUGGAUAGUUUUGGAGAGGAGAAGUCGAAGUUAGAAUGCCUCCAUGUUGCUUCUUUUCUCUAGGUUAAAGUGAGUGGAUUUUCUAAAUGUCUGAGAACAGAUUGUAGUGUUUCCUGUUUAUAGUGAUCCCUUUGGGGAACCACAGAAAUUCUGAUUUUCCUGACCAUUUGUCCUCCAUCAGGCCCAGAUGUUUAAAGGACGUUAUUUUUAUGUGCCAAUGAUUGCAGUAUUUGCAUGUGCAAAUCAUGUAAUUACUUAACUACCCAAAUUGUGCAUGCAACUAAACUUAAUUAUGAACUUAGAACAUUGCCUUAAGCAUCUGACCCUGGAAAAAUUAUGGUGGCAGAAAAUGAGUGUUAGAGUGGAAAUUUCUUGCAAGGCUGAUUUCGUUGUUGUCAUUGUUUCAUGGAAAUCUAUGUUAAGUUGAUUAAGUUGCUUUCUUUACCUCAGUUGGAACAUCUGAGAAUGAAAACAGUGCUUGUACUACCUACUUUCACUGGGUCAUGAGGAGAAAAUUGAGACCAUGCAUAAAAGUGAUUUGGAAAAAAAUUAUAAAACAUGAAAAAAGGUAUUCUUUUUUUUUUUUUGAGACAGGAUCUCACUCUGUUGCCCAGGCUGGAGUGCAAUGGGAUGACCACUGCUUACUGCAGCCUCGACUUCCUGGGCUUAAGUGAUUCUCCCACCUCAAACACCUGAGUAGCUAGAACUAUAGAUUCACACCACCAUGCCCGGCUAAUUUAAAAAAAAAUGUAGAGUCAAGGUCUGGCUAUGUUGCCAAGGCUGGUCUUGAACUCCUGAGCUCAAGAGAUCCUCCUGCCUCAGCCUCCAAAUGUGUUAGAAUUACAGGCAUGAGCCACAGUGCCUGGCCAAAAAAGGAAAUAUUAUUUUUGAAUGGCCUCAUUAAACUCCAUUUUUGAAAUAUGUAGAAAUUAACAUUUUAUAUGAAUCUUUUGUUCAUCUACCCAAAUACUAUACGUCAUACUACGAUAAAAUUUGAAAAAUAAAAUUGUAAAAAAAAAAGGAAUAUUAUUGUUAUUUAUCUUUAGGCUGCAUAACAAUUUCUCAUUUCCCUCUUCUAACAAUACUAUGUGGCAUAUAGAGAAGGAAAAGUUAGCUACAUACAGUUCACAUAUAUGGAAACUGAAGCUCAGUUCAUUUAAAGGACUUAACGUUAGUUACAUGAGAGUUUAAGAGGCAGAUUGAUAAUUUAGCACCAGGUUGUGUGACUCCAAUGUCAAUAACUUAGACAUUCCUGAUAAAGAGACCAUGUUCUUUGCCAUCAGUAGUUAUAGACAUGUUUGAGUCAGCCACUCAAUGUAUUUAAAAAUGUAUACUUUCCAAUAAUUUAAGGAAUGUAAUACCUUGUCUUGAAUUAACUUGCAGAUUACGAUUGCAUUCUAUGUAAGAAAAGGACUUGCUAAGAAAACUAAUGAUAUACUUAAGAAGGCGGAGCCUCUUAAGACUUACUUAAGAGAACAAAUUCGAUGGGUUGUGAUUGUACUUUACCCAUUUGUUGAAACAGAUACAAAGGGUACAGGCCAGAUCCAAUUCAGUGAGCAGUUUUAGAUUAGGUUCCUUUUCCAUUGAGAUAAAAGUCACAUUACUCUCCAAGUUUUCUAUUAUUUGCCUAACCUUUCCACCCAAUUGCUUAUUACAGUGAAGUCAUUAUUGUAGUCAUUAGAGUAUUAUCGGAUAAAAGCAUGCAUACAUUUACAUAGUUCUUCCAAUAAUAUCUCAUUGGGUUUCCAAGCCUUUGAGCAACUUUGAAGGUUCUAAAGUGCUUGAAAGAUGGAAAGGUUUUGCAGUCUCUAGAUCCAAAUGAUGUUUUGAAGGUGAUUCAAGAGUAUGUGGCAAGACUGGAAUAUUUGUCCUUGAGUCUGACUCUACAUUCUGAUCUCUAACCACGGGGUGUUGCCCUCUCCCUCUGUGAGCACGGAUGUCUCCAGACAGAAAAAAACCAGAGAUAUCUUGGACAUUAAAUAAGGGUGUUUCAAAGAAUAUGGGCCACUAAGUCAUCUAUACCCAAUGACUUGGCAGGAAGUAGAAUCAUCACCUCCUUUUAGAGUCAUGAUAUGUCUGAAAUUGUGUUUAUUCUGGUAAAAUAAACAGUCAUUAGCAUGAUUCACACUUUUUCCAGCUUUAGCAAAGAACAGAUAAAUUAUCUACUAUUAUCCUCCUCUACCUUUUACCUCAUUUUUGAGAAAUCAAAUGUGUUUAUAUGAAUAGCUACCAUUUCUUAAGACUUUACCUAGUGCCUGUCCUCUUGCUAAACACAAAUCUAUGCCUUAUCUAAGCCUCCACAAUAGCCCAUUAUGAGUUAGGCAUUAUUCUUUUCCUAUGUUUACAGAUAAGGAAGUGGAGGUUUAAGAGGCUUAAGUAACUUGCCUAACCUAACAUUGUUUGGCUUUUAUUUGUAAGUACUUCUUUCAGUUACCUCUGCACUCUGAAAAUGCUUCAAUGAUGACUCCAAGACAGACAUGCCAAUGACAAACAUACUGAUACUUAAAUAGAUUUUCUUCUGUCUCCAUAUGUGCAUCAGAUGAAGACAUGAAGCUACAGGUUCAGCUCUUAUUGAAAAAUUGCAUUCGUGCCUUGAGUUUCUCCAUUGAAUAAUGUAGCAUUGAUAUAUUAAUUAAAAAUAAUUUGUGACAUUUUCUCAUCACCUAUGAGAUAUCACUUUGAAGGCACAGUUGUGAUAAUAAAAAGAAUGCUUUAAAGUAAAUUUGAAUUCCUUAGGAGGUAAGCUUUAUUUUCAAAUCUUUCUGAGUAAGAUUAUAGCAAGAGGCUGAAGAAAACUUCUAGCAUAGUGAGGUGGGUACACUAUGGAAGACUUUCUUAAACAUCCAGUGUCCCUGUCAAUUAAUUGUAGAUAGUGUAAGUUCAAUUUGUCUACAGAAUGAAUUUCAUCUUACUUGACAAGACACCAAGUUCUUCUUCCUUCCCUCAUAUUUAGAGGUUCUUAUUAGCUUAGAUCAGUGUAACAGACACUUACAGUCACCUGCUAGGCUGCAGCUAUGUGUUGGGGACUGAGGAUAUAAAGCUGAUGGAACAGUCCAACAGGGAGAGACAUAAACAUAGGGGGUAGAUGGAAUUUCAGAGCUAGCACUAAGAAAAGGCUCUCAGGCCAGAUUCUCCAGCUGGGGCCAGGUAAAGGAACUUCAUCCUAAAUCUGUUUCAUAUAAGCACCUCGAUUUUUCUAGUUUGGGGUUUCUGCCCUUAAUUUUUACAUAAUAGCUUGUUGAUGCAAAUAAAGAGGCAAAGGUUCUUCCUCAUUUCCCUCUGGGAUCAAUGGUGGAAGGUUGGUCGAUGUGAUGCCAGUGACCUGUGGUAGUAGCACAGGGGUCUUGACCAGCUCUAACAUGCUAGUAAAGUCCUGACAAGUUCAUCGUUGACCAGAAAAAAUAAUCUAGAGCAACAGUAGCCACUAGCCACAGUCGCCUAUUGAAAACCUGAAAGGAGGCUGGCGUGAGUUGAAAUUUACUGUCAAUAUAAAAUGCACAUUGGAGUUCAAAGACUUAAUAUGAGGAAAUAAUGUAAAAUUUAUAUGUAACAUUUUUAUGCUGAAUACUUCAUGAAAUAAUAAUAUAUUGGAUACGUUGUUUUAAAUAAAAUAUACUCUUGAAUUUAAUCUCAUUUGUUUCUUGCUCCUUUUCUUAAUGUGACUAUUAGAACAUUUAAAAUUACACAAAUGGCUCAUAUUAUAUUUCUACUGAAUAGUGCUGGUCUAGAGCCUUCCUACUCUCAUUGAUGUAACCCUUUUCUAAGACAUUUGCUUGGGAGAGAGAAUUUAUCUUUUAUGUUAAAUGGCCUCCCAAAUAGCAGAGAAACAUUCUGAACCAACACUAUUUUUCUCUUCCUGUUUCUGUACUGCCAUCUAGGUUGUUAUAAAACGUUUUAAAUAUUAUCUAUUAAAUACCAACAAAGUGUAGAAAUUAUAAAAG
rnacentral:lncRNA from 10 species